rnacentral:misc_RNA from 1 species
UAAAGUGAAGAGACUUGGAAGGGAGACAACAAAAUAGAAAUAGGUACCUAAGAUCAAAAUUUUCGUUUAAAUACUGCCUUUGGAAUAAACUUCCAUCAUAUCCAUAAAUUAUUGAAAGAUUUUCUGUCAGCAGAACAAUCAAAAAAUACCGCCAUUAAUAACAAAUUUUACAGAGACAUCAUUCCUGUAAUCAAUAUGGCAAAACAAAUGGCCUGAAUUGUCAUGUGAAGCUAAAGUAAAACAUAAGUGGAAUAAAGCAAACCUUGCACAAGGGACAUUUUACAGAAGAAGGGGCACCAGAAUGCUUGCCAGCAACUACUUUAGUCCAAUU